GACGAACGCUGGCGGCGUGCUUAACACAUGCAAGUCGAACGGAAAGGCCCUGCUUUUGUGGGGUGCUCGAGUGGCGAACGGGUGAGUAACACGUGAGUAACCUGCCCUUGACUUUGGGAUAACUUCAGGAAACUGGGGCUAAUACCGGAUAGGAGCUCCUGCUGCAUGGUGGGGAUUGGAAAGUUUCGGCGGUUGGGGAUGGACUCGCGGCUUAUCAGCUUGUUGGUGGGGUAGUGGCUUACCAAGGCUUUGACGGGUAGCCGGCCUGAGAGGGUGACCGGCCACAUUGGGACUGAGAUACGGCCCAGACUCCUACGGGAGACAGCAGUGGGGAAUAUUGCACAAUGGGCGGAAGCCUGAUGCAGCAACGCCGCGUGCGGGAUGACGGCCUUCGGGUUGUAAACCGCUUUCGCCUGUGACGAAGCGUGAGUGACGGUAAUGGGUAAAGAAGCACCGGCUAACUACGUG
rnacentral:rRNA from 1 species